GGAACGAACGCUGGCGGCAGGCUUAACACAUGCAAGUCGAGCGCCCUAGCAAUAGGGAGCGGCGCACGGGUGAGUAACGCGUGGGAAUGUACCUUUUAGUGGGGGAUAACUCCGGGAAACUGGAGCUAAUACCGCAUACGCCCUUCGGGGAAAGAUUAUCGCUAAAAGAUCAGCCCGCGUGAGAUUAGGUAGUUGGUGGGGUAAUGGCCUACCAAGCCUACGAUCUCUAGCUGGUCUGAGAGGAUGAUCAGCCACACUGGAACUGAGACACGGUCCAGACUCCUACGGGAGGCAGCAGUGGGGAAUCUUGCGCAAUGCGCGACAGCGUGACGCAGCAACGCCGCGUGGGGGAAGAAGGCCUUCGGGUUGUAAACCCCUUUCAGGAGGACGGAAGGUCGGGCGGUUAAUAGCCGUCCCGACUGACGGUACCUCCACAAGAAGCCCCGGCUAACUACGUGCCAGCAGCCGC
rnacentral:rRNA from 1 species